rnacentral:rRNA from 1 species
UAGGGAAUCUUCGGCAAUGGGGGCAACCCUGACCGCGCAACGCCGCGUGAGUGAAGAAGGUUUUCGGAUCGUAAAGCUCUGUUGUAAGAGAAGAACGUGUGUGAGAGUGGAAAGUUCACACAGUGACGGUAACUUACCAGAAAGGGACGGCUAACUACGUGCCAGCAGCCGCGGUAAUACGUAGGUCCCGAGCGUUGUCCGGAUUUAUUGGGCGUAAAGCGAGCGCAGGCGGUUUAAUAAGUCUGAAGUUAAAGGCAGUGGCUUAACCAGUGUUCGCUUUGGAAACUGUUAAACUGGAGUGCAGAAGGGGAGAGUGGAAUUCCAUGUGUAGCGGUGAAAUGCGUAGAUAUAUGGAGGAACACCGGUGGCGAAAGCGGCUCUCUGGUCUGUAACUGACGCUGAGGCUCGAAAGCGUGGGGAGCAAACAGG